CAGCCUCCCAUAGCGCUGGGAUUAUGGCAUGAGGCACUGCGCCAGGCCGCCAAUGUUAAUCUGGAAAUACAACCAGAAAAUAUAAAGAACCCAGACGUAUAGGGGAGUGGGGGUCAAGUUCUUGGCUUUUCAGAUUAAAAUCAAUUCUUGAAUCUCAUCACAGAGAAUGGUCUUGAAAGCAAGCGCUGGGCAUUUAGAAGUUGAGUGGCUAAGCCCUGAAGGGACCCAGUCGGAAAUGUGUGCCAGCAACUUGCAUACAUGAAGUGGGAAGAGAAGAGAUGAAAAGUCAGAUGACCCCACUUAAAGGCUUCAUGAAGACUAUCAGACUGGAGGGAGAGGAAGCUUCACUGUUGGAGAAUCCUGUAGAAAGGGAUUGAUGUCCAGGGAGGAGGGGAGGCAGGACAAUAAGGAUAGCAGACAGGCAUGAGGGGGUUCCCGACUAUUCCUGGGGGCAGCCAGGAACAGUUUGGAACUGCUAGGGGAGUUGGGGGAGGUGGGGGCGGGCAACAACAGAUCGGUAAGACAGGUUUUGGAUGUGAGCACAGAGGGCUUGGCUUAGCUCCUGUCUGGAGGUCUGGGAGGCUGUGCAGACAAAUUCAUUCCAUGGGGACUAGGGGAUGGAGUCAAGAUGUUUUCCUGGGGACCAGGGUAAUGAUGAGAUUCUAUCAAGGGAACCGAACAUUCUCCAGUGUCUCGCAGUCAGAGGGCAGCCAGCACUCCUGGUGCCCUGCGAAGGCAUGGCCGUCCACUGAGGAUGAAGCGAGCGGCGCAGAGGAUACCACAAUGCAGGCAGAGCCACGGGCAUCACAGUGACUGUGCAGGCCUGAGGCCCAUGGAGCCCUGGCCACCCCGGACAACAUCAGUCCCGCGACGGAGGCUGGCAUCACCGUGGGUGGACACACGAGAAUUAUGUGGCAAACGGCAGAAUAGAGGGAGAGGUGAAGUCAGGCCAUACUUGCAACCUACCACACCAGGUAAGCUACCACCCAUCCAACCUCCCCGUGAUGAGAAGCUAGCAAAAAAACUGGCAGAAAAUCCUGAUCUUAACUGAUCUUAAGCACGAAAGGGCUGCUGGAUCAUGAAAUUGAGUUUACCUGCAAUUGACUAGUUUAGGUUUUCUAACCAUUAGACAGAAAAGAAGUUCAGGAUAAAAAUGUAGCUUAAUUGUAGAAAAAAAUUACAAUUUUUGCUUAUGUGAUUUUGUGACUGCAAUUUGUAUGCACUACAUUCUUGACCAAAGGUUCAAAAUCACCAGAUAGAUCAAUAAGUCAGCUUGAAAUACUCUAGAAGCCAGCCUUCAGAAGACCUCCAGCCAAACCAGGAAGUGGCAUCCAAAGCUGACACGGGCUGACUUCCAAAGAGCAGACAGAGAGGCGAAGAAACGGAUUAAAAAUUCUGAGUUUGCCUACAAGGGUGGAUUCUGGAACAAAGUGGCCUGGAGCCUCUGACACUUUUCCUAGAAUAUCACCUUUCUGAUGACAGCCAUCUCUGUAAUUACAAUGAUAAUUGCUUCCAAUGUAAAAUACCACUUAUCUGGCUAGAAGAGCUGUCUGGGUCAAGGCAAAAAACAGAAAAUAAAACAAACAAAAAAACAAUGUUCAAUUUCUUGUUGUCAAAUGAAUAAUGUUAUCAUCAUUAAACCAAUUCUAGAGGAUAAUCUGGUGGAGGAAGGUGGCUUAAUUUAGGACUGGCGGGGACAUCAAACUAAAUAUAAGUGUUGUGUGUUCCACGCACCGGAAGUCCUUCCUCAAUGUUUACAGUGAGACACCAAAAGUAAAAGACAGGACCCAAGCCCAGGGCAUUGGGAGGGAAGCAAGAAGGGACUCAAAUGCCACAGAAUGGAAGGCAGGAUUCCACAGAUGUGAGCAAUUUAUCUCAAAACAAGCAUUUCAAAAGGCUGAGAAAAGAGAGAGAGACAGAGAGUGAGACCCCGCCCCCCAUUUUCACAGUAUUAUAAGUGGGCUGCCUUUCCCAAGGUCCUGCCAUGUCAGGGUCUUUGUGUGUGUGCAUGUGUGUCCGUGUGUGUGUGCAUAUGUGUGUGUGUGCCCACACGAGUGUGUGUGCAUUUGUGUCCAUGUGUGUGCACACGCCAGUGUGUGCACGCGCGAGUAUGUGUAUGCAAGCAUGUGUGCGUGUGUGUGUGUGUGUCUGUG
rnacentral:lncRNA from 10 species